CCCCAAAUCGUUGAUUUGUUUAUCCAACUGCACCCAGAGGCAUUUGAGCGGCAUCCGUUGGUGACGCCCCUUUGGAAAUGGGCUGUGAAUGAACCGUCCCCAGACCCACUCUCAGUUACAGCUGAGCCGGAUCUGGUGUCAGGCU